rnacentral:rRNA from 1 species
GUAGGGAAUAUUGGGCAAUGGAUGCAAGUCUGACCCAGCCAUCCCGCGUGCCGGAAGAAGGCCCUCAGGGUUGUAAACGGCUUUUGACGGUGAAGAAUCGACAGGAUGCGUCCUGUUUUGACGGUAGCCGUUGAAUAAGCACCGGCUAACUCCGUGCCAGCAGCCGCGGUAAUACGAAGGGUGCAAGCGUUAAUCGGAAUUACUGGGCGUACAGCGCGCGUAGGUGGUGUUGUAAGUUGGAGGUGAAAUCCCCGGGCUCAACCUGGGAACUGCCUCCAAAACUGCAUGACUAGAGUACGGUAGAGGGGGAUGGAAUUCCGCGUGUAGCAGUGAAAUGCGUAGAUAUGCGGAGGAACACCGAUGGCGAAGGCAAUCCCCUGGACCUGUACUGACGCUCAUGCACGAAAGCGUGGGGAGCAAACAGGAUUAGAUACCCGAGUAGUCC